ACACAAAAAUGGAUAACAAAUGGUUUUGAACUCGGCAUUCAUGUUGUUUGAUUUUCUCUUUUUUCUUUUCGUGCUUAACUCAUAGCUCUGGGGGUUUAUUCACUUUUGACUCUUUUUACUCAAUUCUCUGUGAGCAUUUUACAGGUGUUAGAGUCUUCAGUCUCGGAGCAAGUGCAUUUUUCUCUUUUUUUUUCUUUUCUUUUUGGACAUACACACGUCUC
rnacentral:lncRNA from 1 species